CUGCCAAUACCAUAGGUCACAG
rnacentral:miRNA from 15 species